ensembl:snoRNA Gm24774 predicted gene, 24774
ACUUCCUCUAGGGGUGUUACAGAUGUGAAUGGUGUGUCACAUGUGUGACAGUUAGUUGUAGAGAGGGGAUAAGUUCUUUCUAUGCUUAGUGUUCUGACCCCUAUGAACAUCUGAAUGAUUAGCAUCCAAGUACC